UAAGGUUGAAGUUUAUGUUUGUUGAUUUGAAACAUAAAUAUAGCGGAGGAAUUCUGUUUUGGAUGCUUGAUCUCUCCUCUGCUCCAAUGUUGAUUUGUUUCAUUGAACAAAAUGAUCUCUCAGGGAAUCUUCUAUGCAGGAGAGUAUUUUGACAAGGUUUAUCAAAGUCUUGAGAGAAUGUUUAAAUAAUAGUAAAAUGAAUAGCUCAUGUUUUUUUCUAUUUUAGUCUUGCUGGUGGAUGCCCUCCUUACUCCCCAAUAUAUACAUCAUGGAUAGAUUGUUGGUGCAUGCUACAAAAAGAGGGGAAUAUGAGCCGAGGAAAUAGCUUGUUUUUCCGGAAGGUCCCCUUUGGGAAGACUUAUUGUUGUGACCUGAAAAUGUUAAUUUGAAGAUGUGGGGCAGGGACAGUGACAUUUCUAUAGUCCCAGAUGCACAGAAUUAUGGGAGAGAAUGCUGAUUUCUAUACAGUGUGGCGCGCUUUUUUAAUAAUCAUUUAAUCUUGGGAAAAUGGAGGUGUUUGGUGUCUGCCUUUUUUGUUCUUUUUUCCAGCACACAUAACUUACCACUGAUACUCCCCUUUUAGUUAUUCUGAAAUGGGAUAUUUUUGCUCCAGAUUCUUAUUUUACUUAACCAGAAGGGGAAAAAAAGCUGUAUUUUCCUGAAGGUAUAGACACUUUGUCAUGUGAUUUUUGAGUCUCAAUUUAAGACUUUGUAAAAUGAAGAGUAGAAUUCCAAGAAGAAUAAGAAAUAAUUCUUUAAAACUUAACAAAAACACUAAGUUAAACUAUAUGGGAGGUUAUGAAUGACCUUUUCUUGGGUAGACCCUAGAAAGUCAGUAGCAUGCACCAGAAUCUGCCUCCUGUUGUGCUUCUAAGCACACUUCAUUGACCUUGUCUCUCAUACUUCAAGAAAAGGACAUAUGUUGCUAUGUUGCCCUAGAAAGUCUGUGUGAGGAUCUGCCCCAGUAAUAAAAUGUCACCGACAGGGAGCCUCUGAGCCUACCCUAGCUGAAGAGGCUGCCUGAAAAAAAAAUAAGAUAAAGGUCAGCAACAACAAGGAAAAGGACAAUUACAGAAAAUAAGCAAGAUUUGGAAAGGAAGUAUAAUGGCACUUUUUUCCCCAAAGGAAAUUCUUGUUUUCACAUAAAAUACGAAAAGCAGAUACUGAAGGAGUAGCCCUCUUCUCUAAGAGCCAAGUAUUUGCCAGUCCUUAAAUUAUACCAUAUGGUUCUAAUUGUAUAUAAUCUUAAUGUUCUUCCGUUUUUUGUUUUGUUUCCUUUUUGUUGUUAUUGCCGAAGGUGAGUACUUUUGCAUUUCUGAUGACCACCAUGUUGGAAAGUAGAUUUGUAACUCCAUGUCUGGUAACGCCAACCCAAGUCCACAUGAGUCUUAGGACACUGACUGCCUCACAUGCCAUACCCUCAGUUAAGCAUGUUAACAUUUAUAGGAGAAAAAACCACUUUAGGAGGAAAUAAAUUCAACUCAAGCAUAAAGCUUCUAUUUACUCAGGCCUUUUAAAAAGCAGGUUAAAAUGCUCUAAAACGAGAAAGCCUGUGGUUUCACUUACUUAAUAACUCACCGGGACAUUGCCAAAUGAGUAAGCACUUAAUUUGGUGCUUCUGAGACUUCUCUGUCAAAACAGCAGCACUGAUAAUAUUAGACAGAAUGAGAAUGCAGGGGUCUUUUCCCUCUCCUGGGGUUUAGGAAGCUCAUGAGGAGCUCAGCUUAAAAUGUCUUUGAUGUCUCUUCCUUUGUUUCAAAAGUAAUGUCAAUUUUAUAUACUAUUCAAUAUUACUAUCUGCAUUUGUUUUAAUAUAAAAAUGUUUGCUGCCUAUUUUUUUCUCCCAAAAAAUCUUUAAGUAAAUAUGAUCUGGGAAAAUGUG